rnacentral:rRNA from 1 species
GAUGAACGCUGGCGGCGUGCCUAAUACAUGCAAGUCGAGCGAACAGAUGAGGAGCUUGCUCCUCUGACGUUAGCGGCGGACGGGUGAGUAACACGUGGAUAACCUACCUAUAAGACUGGGAUCACUUCGGGACACCGGAGCUAAUACCGGAUAAUCUAUUGAACCGCAUGGUUCAAUAGUGAAAGACGGUUUUGCUGUCACUUCUCGCUGGUUCCGGGCCGCAUUAGUUAGUUGGUAGGGUAACGGCUUACCAAGGCAACGGUGCGUAGCCGACCUGGGAGGGGGUUCGGCGACUGAGAAGCUGAGCCGCGAUCCAGACACCGACGGAAGGCAGCAGUAGGUAAGGUUCCGCAAUGGGGGAAAGCCUGACGGAGGAACGCCACGUGAAUGAAGAAGGGCUUCGGAUCGGAAAACGCUGUUAUUGGGGAAAAACAAAUGUGUAAGUAACGAUGCACGUCUUGACGGUACCGGAGAAGAAGGCCCCGGCAAACUAGGG